ensembl:lncRNA
GUCAAACGCAUUCCCUCGUGUUGGUGGAUGGAGACUCCAGUCCCCAGAUUAUAUGCUGAAGGAACAACGUCUCAAGCUGCCCGAACUUGUGAUUUGACCAACUGGGAGCAGUAAAAACAGGCAGAAUCAGACUCGACGUUCAAGAUUCAACAUUCGACCCAAAACAGUUGAAAAUCAAACCGGACUUUUAACGGAACGAAGGGAUUUCUGUCGACCUUCAUUGUCCGUCCUCAGCCAAACCUUCUGCACUGCACCCAUCAACACAUUAACCCCCUCCGCGUCACCACGCGUAUCAUUCUCAUCAAUGCUCCUCAGAUCACACGGUUUGAUGGAGGUCAAUGUUAUUCAUCUAAAGCUCCUUUGGAGGCUUAAACCACUUCACAUAACUUUGCACAUUCUUUUUUUUCAUGCUCUGAGUAAUUCAUGGCGAUAUCUAAAAUAACUGAGCCACACAUCCUUUCUCGUCCCCGUCUUUAUUCUGUGUGUCUGAAAGUCAGUGAUCUACACGCGAAACCGUUGGUCCUGGUUUGAACCCGGGACCUUCUCGCUGCGAGGCGUCAGCGCUGCCCACCACACCCCCACGCUGCCUCUGAUGCCUCCUGAUUGCUUUCUGGCGACUCGUCUCAGGUCUUAAUCUCAAUGACACCGGCUGAUUAAAUAAAGAUUUAAUGAAAAACAACAAAAAAGAUUGCACAGCUACACACCCUGCAGACACGGUGCCGUUUUAAAUCCCCGGAUGAAAGAGGAGAGUGAUGAAAACAAUGCGUACCCACUACAUCCAUCGUGAAGUAACAUUAAAACGCAGCUUCUGGAUACAUCGCCUGAACAGAAGCACAGACACAGACUUCAUCCUGCAGCAGGGAGACGUAGAGAGGAGACGUCUAGCAGAGACAUCCGGCGCCGGGGAACAUUCCCUGAGACGUGCAGGCCCAUUCUCUGUUUAAACCUUUUUCUUUUAUUGUCACGCACUCAAAUUCUCAAAGGGUUUUUGCACCUGAUGUUCGCGACGUGCACGGAGCCGAUCGCAACGGGGCAAAUGGUUUUCAAAGCAGCCAAAUAUAAAUUCUAUUAUUGCCAAGAAUUUACACACAAAUACGUCCAAAGAUCCUUCCUUUCGUCCUUGAAUCUGCUCUCUGCCGCGGGACGAGAACGAAGACUUCACUUGGCUGUUGAACACAGUGAAGCUGUAACCUUGACGGGCUGAUACCGAACGGUGUCUGUGUGUGUGUGUGUGUGUGUGUGUGUGUGUGUGUGUGUGUGUGUGCAGACAGCACUUUAAUGCAGAGCAGAUGUCAAAACAACAGCUUGCACCAACAGUUUAAAAUAAAAAUGAGCACUUUAAAAUGCCACGAUCCCACCAGGUGCUCCACUGGUCUGCAUGCACGGACCCAAAGUUGUGCAGGUGACGCAUUUAAAACCCAAACUCCAAAACGGGGGAAAUGUCAA